CUGGGCGAGGUGAAGGUAAUAACCGGAUCCGUGCUCGGUCCCGUGCCUUGGCCUCCCGCGGAUCUGCCUCGCUGCGAGGCUUCCGUGACGGCUUGCCGUCGCGGUCGUCCUCUUCGGCCGCUAUUUAACGGUCAGCUCAGAACUGGCACGGACUGGGGGAAUCCGACUGUCUAAUUAAAACAAAGCAUUGCGAUGGCCCUAGCGGGUGUUAACGCAAUGUGAUUUCUGCCCAGUGCUCUGAAUGUCAACGUGAAGAAAUUCAAGCAAGCGCGGGUAAACGGCGGGAGUAACUAUGACUCUCUUAAGGCGGGAGUAACUAUGACUCUCUCGAGUCUGGUUAGCAAGCAGUCACCUUUUCGUGGUUCCCGCCAUAAGUACCCUCGGAUGAGUUUCUGAUGGGGGGAAACUAAGAACUGCCUCUGUGCUCGAUGACUUUGUGGGGUUGCCAGCCCCGCUCAGUCCAAUUUUGUCGGCCCUAAAAGAUUGAAAAAAGCCUCGGAUGGAAAUAAUAAUAAUCUAGCUGGUGGGCCCGCAGGUCCAACCGGCCCGACAACCAACGUUCCAGUAACGUUUGAAUGCAGAAUGCUAGGGUGCGAAAGAACUUUUUUGACAACGAGAGGGAGAGGUGUGCAUGAACAGAGGGUUCAUAAAAACUGGUAUGACCAAAGACAGGUGGUCGAGAUGAACGUGCGUAGUGCGCAGUGGAACGCCGAAGAAUCGAGCCUUCUUGCUAGGCAGGAGGCCCGGCUCACACUAGAGGGCGUUCGAUACAUCAAUCAAGCGCUUGCGCCAUAUUUUCCGAACAGAACCCUUGAGGCCAUAAAGGGACAGAGACGGUAUCAAGCGCACAAAGACAGGGUGCGGCAGUAUAUGGAUGGUCUGGCGGGGGAGCUGCAGGCCCCACUUCAGCCAGACGUCAUACAAGAGCCGAACGGGGAGCAUCGGCCGCAAUCAAUUGAUACCUUAAGAGCUGCAAUUGUGGGGGAGCUAUCCAAACAGAAUCCGUUGAUCGGGCCUGAGUUCCGAAAGGAAAAACUAAGUCAGAUAUGUGAGAAUAUCUCGUUGUGGUCACUGGAGAUGAUUUCUGAACAGCUCGAAAUUUACCUAUUGGAGGUGUUUCCGCUACCUCAAGUACGGAGAAGACCGAACCCAGCGGUCAGGGCUGAUGUUCAGCAGACGAAGAGGCAAGCCCGUAGGGCUGAAUAUGCGAUAACGCAAAGAGCAUGGAGAAAGAACCCGUGCAACUGCCUCAGAGUUCUUUUGAAAGAUAAGACUGCCUCUCAAACACCGAGAGAGGAGGUCAUGGUUCCGUUUUGGCGGACCAUUAUGACGCAAGCGAAUGUUCAGUCGCCUGGGGUUGGCUCCGUGCCAAACGAUAGAAGGAAUGACUUGUGGAAGCCGAUAAGGUCUGAGGAGAUUAAGAGGGCAUUUCCUGAGAUGACUACGUCACCUGGACCCGAUGGGGUGACCGCACGGCAGCUGAGGGCUGUACCGAUGAAUGUGUUGGUCGGAGUAUUCAACCUACUCCUUCUCUGUGGGAAGCUGCCCAAACACCUUGCGGAGUCAAGAACAACUCUGAUUCCUAAGAAAAAUGGGGCCUCUGAGCCAGGAGACUUUAGACCAAUAACAGUGUCCUCAGUGAUUACUCGAACAUAUCACAAGAUCUUGGCAAAUCGGCUGGCCGUGUACAUAGAUCUCGACGGUCGGCAGAAGGCGUUCCUUCCUGUUGAUGGGACAGCGCAGAACAUAUUUGACCUAGAUAUGAUACUUCGGUACCAUAGGCAAAAUUUCAAGCCCUUAUAUGUGGCUUCAUUAGACGUGGCCAAAGCCUUUGAUUCGGUAACGCAUAACACCGUAAGGGAUACUCUGCUUACGAAGGGAGUCCCAACACACUUAGUCGAGUACGUCAUGGAUGUUUACUCGAGGAGCACGACGAGACUGGUAUGCGAUGGGUGGACUUCUGAUCCGAUAUCUCCAACAUGCGGAGUAAAGCAGGGAGACCCUCUGUCGCCUAUUAUCUUUAAUAUGGUAAUGGAUGGCCUCUUAAGGCUCAUUCCACCAGAAGUAGGGGUGGAUGUGGAUGGGGACCACUAUAACGCAUUGGCGUUUGCUGAUGAUCUGGUUUUUACCGCGUCAACUCCUCAGGGCCUGCAGUUAAUUCUCGACUUAGCCACGGAUUAUCUGGCUAAGUGUGGUUUGGCAAUUAACACUGGAAAGUCUUUUACAGUUGCCUUGAGGAGUGUGCCGCAUGUUAAGAAGUCUGUAGUGGAUGGUACAGCUAGAUUUACGUGUUCUGGGCGGAUGAUGCCAGCACUAAAAAGGGAGGACGAGUGGAGAUAUCUGGGCGUUCCCUUUACACCAGAGGGGCGCUCGAAGGGCGAGGAGAACGAGCAACUGAGGUUGGCCUUGCACUCGCUUACAAAGGCACCAUUGAAGCCCCAGCAGAGGCUAUUUGCACUAAGGGUGGCAGUCCUACCUGGGCUGUAUCACCUUCUGACGU
rnacentral:rRNA from 1 species